UUAUUAUAAUGGCUUCAUUUGCACAUCAUUAUCUUUGUUGAAUCUGACUUUGUCAGGGAAUUAUUGUCCGAUUAUUGGAAGAACAUCAAUUAAAUAUAUAUUGUACAUUAUCACGUCCUUCAAGACCAAGGUGAAAAAAAACUGUAUUGAUUAUUAUAAUGGCUUCAAAGAAAGAAAACUUUGCUUUCAAUUUCUUGAUAUAUUUUUCAUAAUUGCUUAAUCUGAGUUUCAAUCUGUAAAUCAUACUGAUUCAUUAAUAGAUUAUAUUCUUAGUUGUUAAUCAUAAGUGAGGUUGAGGUCAAGUAUUUUUCUUUUGGCUCUAUUUUAAGGGACUUGAAAGUCUUUGACUGUUCCAUUUGAUGAUACAUUUGCAAGAACAACUUUGUUAACAAUUCGUAUGUUUCAGAUCUUGACUUCGAUAUUGUGGAGAUGAAUCCUUUUGCAUUGGUUAAUGGAAAGCCAUAUCCUUUGGAUAUGAGAGGUGGGAUAAUAUUAAAUUUCCAAUGCCGGAAGAGUUAUGAGUCCAACGCAGAAGUUUAUUCAUAGACUAGAUGAGAAAUUCUGAACCCUGAGUGAAGAAUAUGGACAAUGGUUGCUGGAGGAGGUGCAAGAGUUAUAUACACAGACAUGUUGGACAUAUUGGCUUCGCUCAUGAGCUUGGAAACCACUGAAUAUGGUGGAGAACUAAUGACGAGGAUGUCGUCUUGAAGUAGCCCAGAGUUGUUGAUAUGUUCUGUGUUCUUUUCCCCUGCAUCUAUUGUGCUGUUGCCGACUAAUCUACUCUUAGUGUGACUUAUUAAUGGAUGACUAUUUUGUCUAUACAUCUUCAUGUUGCUGAUCUUGGAGAAGGUGCAUCACUUUUAUGCAGAGCGCAUUUAGGAAACUGCAAGCAGGAGGGGUUUGCUGCAAUUUUUUUGAGUUUAGGUAUGUGACUGCUGUUUUGGUUUUUGAACGACUCUUACUUUUUAAA